UCCGAGGAGGAGGAGGAGGAGAGAGCAGCCUCCCGCAGCUGGCGAGGAGAAUGGGAGUGCGGGACACCGGACCGCCGCGGGGUGUCACGGCCGCGGCCGAGCUCUCCAGGCGCGGGGCCGGCGCCCGCCGCGUUUAAAGCCGGGAGGGCGCGGCGGCGCCGGGCGGCGGCCGAAUGGAGAGGAAGGGCUCGGCGGCCGGAGCCAAGGGGAACCCGAGUCCGCCCGCGGCCGGGGAGGCGCAGCGGCCCCAGCCGCCGCUGUGCGUCCCGGGCGGCGGCGGCGGAGGGACCCCGGCGCGGGGCCAGGCUGGGGCGGCGGCCGAGCCCGCCGAGUUCAUCCGGCGCGCGCACGAGUUCAAGAGCCAAGGGGCGCAGUGCUACAAGGAUAAGAAAUUCCGCGAAGCCAUCGGCAAAUACCACCGAGCGUUGCUGGAGCUGAAGGGGCUGCUGCCGGCCGCCGGGGAACGGGAACGGGACUCGCGCGGGGCCUCCCCGGCCGGGGCUCCCAACCCCGGCCGCCUCUCGGAGGAGCAGAGCAAGACGGUGGAAGCCAUCGAGAUCGACUGCUACAACAGCCUGGCAGCCUGCCUGCUCCAGGCCGAGCUGGUGAACUAUGAGCGAGUCAAGGAGUACUGCCUCAAAGUCCUGAAGAAAGAAGGGGAGAAUUUCAAGGCCCUUUACCGGUCCGGUGUGGCCUUCUACCACCUUGGAGACUAUGACAAAGCACUCUACUACCUGAAAGAGGCAAGAACCCGACAGCCAACAGACACCAAUGUGAUUCGAUAUAUCCAGCUGACGGAGAUGAAGCUCAGCAGAUGCUCCCAGAGAGAGAAGGAAGCCAUGUAACCAGAACACCUUUCUAGAGCCGUGCCUGGCCCAGGACAUCCAAGCACCGCAUGGUGGAGAGCCCCUCCCUGGGUUCUGGUCCUCUCUCCUCACUUCCUCCUCCUAUUACCCCUCACCUCCGUAUCUACUCUCCGUGGGCACAGAAGGAGACCUGCGGAUUUGGAAUCUGGUGGGUUGCCCUGACAGUGGAGACAGCCUCCUUUCAGUAGGGGCAGCCGCUGAAAGAGCCCUGGCUUUGGCGGGAACAGCCAGAGAGGACUGUCACAGGUUGGCAGUGCCCUUACAGCUCCGACUUGGGCCAGCACUCCUGACAAGAGGCAGAGCCCGGCAGGUGCACCCUCCCAGAGGCGUCAGGCAUGGAGCCCACGGGCUGGACCCCUCCACAGCUUCUUCACAGCCUGGAGCAUCUCAAGGCAACUGUGAUGGAUCCAGGAGCCAGACAGACACCAGAAGCAUCGGUUAAGCCCACAGAGUCCGAGAAUUUGUACACUGGAUUUCUGCACACACACACGCGCCCGCUCCCCACCCCCAAGAACCCGCAGCCCCUGCCUCCCUCCCUCCCUCGUGGUCUCGUUCUGUGCUUUCUCCUCUCCCCCUUGGGGAUCUGAGACUCCGCCAGGAUUCACAUGCCAUCGAAACCCACUCUCAAUGCCCUCUGGUGACCACACAUACCAUUCCCCCAGACUCCCAGCCAGCAGGCAGCUGUGACUGCAGAAGGUCAGGGUAGAGUGGGCCAAGGACUGACCACAUAGGGCUGGGGGGAGGGAGAGGUGACAUCUAGGGGACAGAGCAUUGUAUAGACUGGGAGACUGAACUGUAGACGAAGUUAAGUGUGAAUAAAAAUAAACGAACAGGCAGCAGUCCCUGUCACUUCUGUUGGAAGCAGCCCACUCCCUCCCUUUUACUCCCUCCCCCAAUCCUCAGUCAGAGUUGCUUACAGCCAGGCAGGAUGGGGCUUCCCCCAGAGCAAUGGGCCGCUUCUCCAGUGGUGCACAAUGCUGGCUGCGCCUUUGUGCUUUUAGAGUAGGCUGGGAUUAUGGAGACCGCCCAGGGACUUGGCUGGGUGGGAACCCUGUAAGACCCUUUUUGAUGAAAUUAUCUGGACUCAAUAUCUAGCACGUAGAAUGUGUUCAACAAAUAUUUGUUGACUGAGUGAAUGAUGACUGCAGACUGGUUCUCCUGCCUUAAACUCAUUUGAUCCCAGCCUCGUCUCCAGAUACCUACGCUCUUUUUGCGAUGCCAUGUAGCUUCAGUCAAAUAGGAAACAUUUACUGAGGGCUCGUUGUUUGCCUGUCAUUGUGCAAUAUGCCCUGGGACGAAGGAUGUAGUCCCGGUCUUCAAGGAGAUGGAAGAGUUGAGAGAUAGUCAUAGGAGAUUAUUACCAAUGACACCUUUAAUAUUUAUGAUGCUUUAAGAUUUUCAAAGCACUUUCAUGUAUUUUUUGUGUGAUCAGUGAGACAAUAUUGUACAGAGUAAAAUAUAUACAGAUGCAAUAAUGUUAAUAGUGAGCAUUUAUUAAAUGCAUUCUCCUCAGAUCUUUACAUGUAUAAUCUCAUUUCUUUCAUGUAAUUACCCUACUAUUCCCAUUUGAUGGAUAAGGAAGCUGAAAAACAGAAAACUUGUCCAAGGUUGCAUGGCCUUAAUUGGCAUAGCUAGGAUUUGAACUGAGUCUGUCUGACUCCAGAGUUUCAGCUGUUAACUAUUCUGUAGUUAGUUGCUGCCCUGAAAAGUACUGGAUUGGCCAAAGUUUUGUUCAGGAUUUUCCAUAAGAUGUUAUGGAAUGAAAUUUUUGACCAAUUCAAUAUUAUAUUGGAUAGUUGUUAUUCUUUAGUCACCAAGUCGUGUUUGAUUCUUUUGUGACCCUAUGGAUUGUAGCCUGCCAGGCUCCCCUGUCCAUGGGAUUUCCCAGGCAGGAAUACAGGAGUGAGUUGCCAUUUCCUUCUCCAGGGGAUCUUAGCAGGAGAGUGUGUGUGACAAGCCCUGAUGAUGCCAAUGAUGGUACAUGGGCCACCUUUUGUCAUUUAGCCCUAAUUGAAAAAUGGCCCGUAGCACUUGACUCCCUAGUGGUGGAAAAGACAGCUGAGACCCAGCAGUUCUUUCCGUGUAUUGUUCAUUCUGCUUGCUGAUGGGCCAGUGUGUAUCCCAACAACCCACCACGCACUCCUCACUCCCUCCCCAGCUUUGGGAAAGAGUCACAAUUAUAGGUAGAGAAUGAAAGGAAACACAACAUUAAUUAUGGGUUGUUUAUUUAAUCAGAGGCUCCGGCACUGCAGGAUCCGAUCACUGCUCAGGGUAGAAGCCAGCAGCACAGGUUAUAUUCACACAGUUCCUCAAAGGCUUCCAAUGGGGUCUGCAAGAAGGUGCUAGAAAUAUCCAGGGGCUGGCAGCUGCUUGUCGGUAGCUCAGCCUCUGGAGAAGGGAAACGGGGAAAAGCUGUUAUUGCUGCCAUGUAAUCCCCAACCUCAACCAUAUCCUUCUCUCUCUUCUCUUCCCUCAAAAUGGUUUACACGUGACCCCAACUCAAAACCAUGCUACCGCACUCACAGUACAGGCAAACGUGCAAACCUCCCCCCUUUCCAAGCCUCCAUCCCAGAAAGUUUGUGAAUUGGCAGAUGGCUCGUUAGGAUCUGAAGAUGAGGUCAGAGGUGGCCCGCAGAACCAGUUCACAUCGGCAGGGUCUCUCUUUGGUCUUCACGCAGUGAGGACGGACUCAGAGGAGCUAUUCUCAAUGUGGAGCGAGAGGGUCUUGCCUCACCGAGAGUUGGGGCAGGGCUGGACAGAUGAUGUUAAGAUUAUUGCCAUCCUUCCCAGAACUAGGUGAGGACAACCUUGUGGGACCUCAUAGAGCAAGUAACCAGGCCGUCUGCUUGUCUAGUGACGUAGACAUGCAUGCUGGGAACUCCAUUCACUGUGACCCACAGUUCAGUGAUCCCAAAGAAGAAGCUGCCUGGGGAGAUGUUUGAGGUGGUGGGACUGAAUUUUCUGUGCAUUUGUCCAGAGACUUCAGACAGCUGGUAAGCAACAUGAGGUUUGUUCAUCUUCCCAAACCUUCAGCUUCCUUCUCCUCAUCCUGCCCCCAAACAGAGACUAUCAUUUAAUACAGGUUUUGUUUGCAAAUGUCACUAACUGAGCUGAACUUGGAGUGCUCACUCUGGAUUUGACCUGCUUUGUCAUCUCCUGCUGGGACUUUGGUGAUAGAGACUUUGGAGAAAAAAAAUUACACUUUUGUUGUAAUUAUUAUGAGAGCCUCAGAUGUGUAUGGUAGAAAUAUUAGGGGAAAAAAAAGACAAAUUCUGCCCCAUAAUCCUACUGCUGGAGACAGAUAUUGUUAUCCUUCUGAAUGUUUCUUUUUGGUAUAAAUGUAUACAUGCACAUCCUUUUUAAACAGAAACUGGAUCAUACUGUACAUACUCCUUAAUAACCUACUUUUCAAAAUGUGUAUUUAUAUUUUAGAAUAUGUAAUACAUACACAGGUACAAAGUUCAAGAAGUAUGAAAAGCUCUAGCAUCAAAAGUAAAUCUCCUUCCCACCCUGUCUGCCAGCCUCUAGUUCUUCAACUACUUCUAUCUCCUUGCAGAGACAGUUACGCAUUUUCAAAUGUCUGUAUCUAUUGUGUCACAAUUGCCAGCAUAUUGGACACCCUUUCUGCACCUUGUGGUACUUCAUUCACAAUAUCAUGAACAUAACAUGUUUUGUGCAUCUCCCAAGCUUUUUCAAUAGCAUCCUCACUGGGUGAGUGGACCUUCAUUUGGUAGCCAAUCUUGUAAUAGUGACUAUUUCAUCUGUUCCCAAUCUCUACCGUAAAUAAUGUUGCAACAGACAUUCUCGUAGCUAAAUUUUGCACAUAUCUAGGACUAUUUCCUUAGGAUAAAAUCCAAGAAGGAAAUUACUUGGCUAUCUUUAAGAAAUUUGAUAUACGUUACCAACUGCCCUUCAGAAAGUUUGUACCAAAGUACUCUUCUUUUGCAGGCUUGAGAGUGCCCUGUUCCCUGCACCCUCACUACCAGUGGGUAUUAUCACUUAUCAAAUCUUUACCAAUUUGAUAGGAAAAUAAUAGUGUAUCAACGUUACACGAAUUCACACUCCUUUAUUAGUGAAUAGCAUCUUCACGUGCCUAUUGGCCAUUUGUACUUCUUUAUUUGUGAUUUUUCUAUUUAUUUGAUAUUGGUAUGUUUAUCUUUAUUAUCAAUAUGUACUUUUAUUAAGAAUAUUGUUUUUGGCAAGAAACAUUGCCAAUAUGCUUUCCAAGUGCUUUGCUUUCAAGUUUUGUUUAUGGUGCUUUUUGACAUACAUAAAUCUCAAUUCUGCAAUUAA